UACGGAGGAUGCGAGCGUUAUCCGGAUUUAUUGGGUUUAAAGGGUGCGUAGGCGGAUCGUUAAGUUAGUGGUCAAAUUGAGGGGCUCAACCCCUUCCCGCCAUUGAAACUGGCGAUCUUGAGUGGAAGAGAAGUAUGCGGAAUGCGUGGUGUAGCGGUGAAAUGCAUAGAUAUCACGCAGAACCCCGAUUGCGAAGGCAGCAUGCCGGCUUCCUACUGACGCUGAAGCACGAAAGCGUGGGGAUCGAACAGG
rnacentral:rRNA from 1 species